rnacentral:rRNA from 1 species
UUAGAGCAAAUCAAUCAUUUUCGGAUGUAGUUUGCUGACUCUGAAUAACGCAGCAUAUCGGCGGCUUGUUCGCCGAUAAUCCGAAAAAGUGUCUGCCCUAUCAACCUGAUGGUAGUCUAUUAGUCUACCAUGGUUAUUACGGGUAACGGAGAAUAAGGGUUCGACUCCGGAGAGGGAGCCUUAGAAACGGCUACCACAUCCAAGGAAGGCAGCAGGCGCGAAACUUAUCCAAUCUUGAAUAGAUGAGAUAGUGACUAAAAAUAAAAAGACCAUUCCUAUGGAACGGUCAUUUCAAUGAGUUGAUCAUAAACCUUUUUUCGAGGAUCAAGUGGAGGGCAAGUCUGGUGCCAGCAGCCGCGGUAAUUCCAGCUCCACUAGUGUAAAUCGUCAUUGCUGCGGUUAAAAAGCUCGUAGUUGGAUCUGAGUCGCAUGCAGUAGUUCGCCUUUGGCGUUAAUUAUUGUUGUGACUAUUUGCUGGUUUUCUAUUGAAAUCUCGAUUUCUUUAGUGGCUAGCGAGUUUACUUUGAAUAAAUUAGAGUGCUCAGAACAAGCGUUUGCUUGAAUGAUCGAUCAUGGAAUAAUAAAAGAGGACUUCGGUUCUAUUUAUUGGUUCAGGAACUGAAAUAAUGGUUAAGAGGGACAAUUCGGGGGCAUUCGUAUCCCUGCGCGAGAGGUGAA